CACCACCUGGGGCACUGUGACCUGCUCUGCCCAUCGCUCUGGAGGACCAACCAGAACCCCCAGGUCGGGCACCUGGGGGUCGUCAGGAACAGGAGCAGGGUCUGAGAUCUGGCUCUCUGUAGACAUGUGCUGAUGGGCAGACUUUGGAAGCCGUCCUUGGACAUCCAGAUUUGACCUCUGGGAUAGCAUUGAAUGGUCUAUUGGAAGAGUGGAAGCCAUGUUGCAGGGGCUCAGCUGUUGACAGAGGAGGACGUGGAAAGAUGGCUAAGAAGGAAGUCUGUUUCAAAACCCAGGAUUUUUCAAACAAGAAAAAAAGAAAAGAUACAGGCUGCAGAUUAAAUGAAGAGCAAAGGAACUUAAAAACGUUUGCAGGAGACCGCCAAGUGAAAAAUGAAACACAUGCUCUAACAGAGAUGCUGCUGGACACACUGGAGAAGAAUGAACUGCAGCCAGGUGGAGGGGUUUGAGGUGGCUGUAUUUCACCUGAACCUACAGAGUAGCCUCUGGCCCAGAGAAUUCCAGAGCGUGGUGAGAAGGCAGCCUGAUGGCAGCUGAUCUGAAAGUUGCCUCGAGAAGAAAACAGCAGGAUCGGGCAGUGUUCUCCAAGGCAUGAGUCAGGGAACAACGCCAUGGAAAACAAACUGCAGAUGCUUUCAGACAAAAGUGUGUCCGCUCCACUCACGCUCACCAUCCGAGGAGAAUUAUAAUGAAAAUGGAUCUGAUACACUACUCAUCUUUCACGCAGAAGCGUAGCGUGUACACAAGAAACCAUACUGAUUGUAACUAUCAAAGAUGAGCUUGCAUAUAAGAAACAGAAAGGCAUCAAGAAAGAUGUCUGCCCAUGACAUUCAGGACUUUGCAUGUGAACAGUAAGGGUUCUCAUUUUGUCAGGCCGGUCCUACAGGCUCUUCUGAGACUUUCUAGUUUAUGGACGCCAAGAUGGAGGGGAAUGGGGGUGCCUUUCUUCUUAAAUAAUAAAAUAUUC